CUCCUGCCGGCGUUCACGGGGAGCUCCUGCCGGCGACUUCCCCGAACACCUCCCUAAGUAAAUGCUCUAGGUCUAUGUAAAUGGGCUGCUGGCUCUGAUGGAACUCAGUUUCCCAUGACCAUUGUGUACAGAAAGAUAUGGUGAAGCUUGAUGGCUCAGACCACAUGCUGCUAUACUGAUGUGGCUCACAUUUGUAUCUGGGUCACUCGUUUGGAUAGUAAUUCAGUAAACAAUAAUUACAUUUCUUUUGGAGAACUCGGUUGGCUUUCGUGUCGGUCACUAUUGAGGAAGGUGAAGCCUUUCCUCGCGUGGCUUUUCCUGGUCCUCCCUUUCCGACCUGCUACUCCUGGCAGUAGGCUGUUCGUCCUGGCAUGACCGUUCCAGCUCUGGCACUUGUUCCUUCAGAUGUGUGACAAGCGGGCUGACUUCCUGCUCCUCUCCUAUGAUGGCCCUGAUGGUCUGCUGCUGCCGCAUGCCUGUGAGUAUGAGCCCUGACCUCCCAGCUUCGGUGGGUGUUCUGUGAAUGCUGUUGGCAUGCAAUGUUGGUCCACUACAUGGAGAGAUCUCCUUCUGAUGGAAAGUUGCAUUAACCAAGCAAUUGAUCUUGUGGCUUCUCCAGACCUUUUGUCUACCAAUUUGGUUCUAAGCCCAUAAUUGGUCUUGCGGCUUCUCCAGACCUUUUGUCUACCAAUUUGGUUCUAAGCCCAUAAUUGGUCUUGCGGUAUGCAUAUGUUUACAAGUCCUAUUCUCCUGUUGAUAAUAUAAGCGCUUAUCCUUGUGUGUUCCUACGCAAAUUUACUAAAUUCAGAUUACCGUCAAUGCAUUUACUUCUGUUUGUUAAUAAUUUGAGUGCUGAUGUUUGUCGUGGCACCACUGAUGUUCCUUGGAUGCAUAAAUUUUUGCUGGGACAAGACUUAGUUAAUUCAUGAAUAGUCAUCGUGUGAAUCAAGUCCGUACAUUGCUAUAUAUGUUUACUUCCUGCACGUGCUAUUUAGGCUUGUUGUAGACAACUUGCUGCACAUGCAGAAAUGUGUUCACCUGAGGUGCAUGCUGCAGGUAAAAGCCCAAGAUUAUCCCCACAUUCUCAUCACUGCUGGCUUAAACGAUCCUCGCGUGAUGUACUCGGAUCCUGCUAAAUUUGUGGUGAAGCUGAGGGAGGCGAAAACGGACGACAAUCUCCUGCUAAUGUGAGCUCGGUGCUGGGCACUUCUCCAAGUUGGGGAGAUUUGACAAAUUGCAAGAAGAUGCCUUCACUUACGCGCUCAUCUUCAAGGCGCUGAGAAUGACUCCUCCAAAAAAGGCUUUGGGUAUGUUUGGUUCAUGCGCAACUAGCACUGCCAAAAAAAAUUGGCUGCCUGUUAUAUUUUGUUCUUUGCUUGGUUUGCUAUUUUGGUUGCCAAUGAGUGUCCAUCCAUCCCUCUCGCAUAUUCUUUCUCGAUUAGUGGGUGAUUUGAACUUUGCUUUCAUUAUCGCAUACUUGGUUCGUCGCUGGAUUUGUUAAAUAUUUUUCUUUUUUUGUGUUGUUGUUUAGUGAAUGGUUUUAAUCUAUAUUAGAGUUUGCCGACAUUAAUUUGUGUUCUUUUGUAUAUACUAGUUGAAUAGACUUCUUUGUGGUUGUGGCUCCUGUAGAUAAACAACUGCAUAGUUUUUUUUGCACAUACUUUACUGGUCCAGGGUUAGCUGGUUAGAAAGAAAGAAAAAAAUAAUUAAUAUGGUGAUGUUUUCUCCAAUGAACAUUAGAUAAUACUUAAGCUUUCCUUGUGAGUUCUUCUUGGGAGUAAAUGAAUUUAUGGUUCUCACUGUGCAUACUUAAUGCCUAGCUUGCUAGGGAAAGAAAGAAAGAAUACUGCUUAUUUAUGAAUUAUCAUCUUUCUGAUGUUAAAUAAUUUAUCAUUUGUGCCUUUUAGAGUUGCUAAUCUGAACAGCUGGUAUGUUCUUCAGUAGUUUAGUUCAGCGAUUUCAAACAUAGAAGCCAUAUUUCGUUCCUUUAAUCUUAACUCUGGCCUCUUUUAUGUCCUAACCUAACUUGGCCUUAAAAACUCAAGUCAGGGAGAUUUCACAAAUGUUUAAUUGGAAGGAAAAAAUAGAUAACUAAGCUCUCACUUUGGUGAAUAAGAGCACAUAUAAAGGACAGUUUAAAUCAGCACCACCUUUAAUGUGGAUUUGAAGUUGUUGAAUACAGUACUACUUUGAGGGUCACAUAGGUACAUUAAAGUCCGCGCUACUUAUACCGCAACCUGAGACCAUCUAUACCUGAAUGAAAGAGCCUGUCUAUGACGGGCAAUCAUGAUAUGGAGUAUUUCUUUCUUCUACAGAUAUAAGCAUCUUCUAUUUUACUCUGAGGAGUUAAAAUGAGCAUGAACAGUCUCCAUAAGACUAAUCUUAUAGGCUUCCUUCCCCAGACCAUGUAUUUUCCUCUUUUGUGCUAACACAGACAAAUUUCUUCCCUAAACUGGUGGUCACAUGACUUCUGAGCAACUUAUAGAGCCUUCUAAUCCAUGAUGCCUACGGUUUACCCAUAGAUUCGAUGUUAAAGAGUGAAUUGCGUACGUCUGAUCAUACUUUAUCUCCGUGCUUGCAAAAAAUUGGGUUUUGGUUGGUUUUGAAAUUGGGGUCAUCACAGCAGCCAAAAGCUAGGGGAUUCUAGGGAUUUCGGGUAAAAGGAAUUGGGGAAUUUGGGAUGGGAGGAGCAAGCAGUCGGGCAAGGAAACAGAGAGGAUGAGAAUUCAGUUUUCCAUAUCUUUUCGCAUAUCCUGUUCAGUACAUGGAGGGCCCCUUAUAACCUGGGGUGGUCUCCAACUCGUUUACACACAGGCCACACGGCCACCCCUUUCCAGCUCAUUCUCAACACACAGACAAAGACGCUGGGCCCAUUGAGCUCACCAGCUCAUCCUGGUGACUGGUUGUCCACCAAUGAUGGCAUAGGUGUGACAUGGUUGUUCUCUUAGCUGGCUACCUGAGGCAUGUUUUGUGGAGUAUUAUUAAUAGGUAACUAUUAUUUGCCCCUGCGAGUUAGCCUCCACUUGAUAGUUAAUCAAGGUUGUAUCCCAUAUGGUAAAUAGCGCAUUUGUUUCCUCUUCUCUAAUGCCUAAACGAAUUUGAAACUGGUAUUACAAUGCUAGUAAUUUUUCACCAUUUUUAUCUAUUCUUGUAUUCAAUAUGACCCACUUUUCUGGCAAGAAAUCAAAAUUUUACGAUGCUCUUAUGUUUCUACUUGGAUUAUGUGCAAAGUAGCCAUAUCCAUGAAUAAAGGCAUUGCUGUUUGGAGGAAUAAAGCUAUAUGCUUUAUUUCUUAUUCUUACACCCUGAUGCUUUAUUCCUUAGGAUUGUUGGUAAAAAUCUACCUAUGUUUUAUUGUUUUGCCAACUACAGCUUCGUUGUUAGAAUGUCUCUUUGAGCUUCAACAAUUCAUUUGUAAGCUUCUUUCAAGAAAAUCUUUUGCAUCUACUUGCGUUCAGGUUCUAGUUUUGACAACAGAUUCAGUCCCAUGCCCUUUCCUGCUCAUCGCCUUUUCAGUCACAUGCCCUUUUCACACUUUCUAUGAUAUAUUUUUAACCAAAUGGUUUGUUAUAGCAGAUCACUUUGUAAGGUUGUUUCAAGAAUUUUGUAGAUAUAUAUUCGAUCGUCUAUAGUUCAUCAGCACCAAAUCGUUUACUAUAGAAAUAGAUGCUAUUCUAUAGAAAACAUAAUAGUGCAUCUUUUUUUUCAACAUAACAAGUGCUCAGUUUGGGUCCUGCAAUUCAAAUACUUGCUAUUUACAGUGUUACUUAUAGGGAUCUUGACAUCAUUUAGGCUUUGGAUACUAUUUGCAAUUUUGACCCUUUGACAUGCCUGUGUACCUUGAAAACAAAUGGCAGUCUCAUUUUCUGCAGCAAAAUGCUAAAGUACUGCCAGUUUGUUGGAGCUUGAUUAGUAUUUUGAUUGUUCUGUUUACUCUUUGCGCACUCUAUAGUUGCUCUUACGUUCUUAUAAGGACUUUUCUUUUUGAGAAAACGCAAAGACUUUGCGUUUCAUUUCAUCGAAAAGGAGAAGAGUUUACAAGCCUCCUAGGAGGCGGGUUACAUCAUGUGUUACAGGA